ACAUGCCUACAACAUAACAUUAAUGCACCAGAUCUCAUUAGAACUCCUCAGUUAAGUGAACUCAGGCUAGAUUAGUAAUAGGAUGGGUGACCACUCAAGAAGUCCUAGUGUUUUACAUGCC
rnacentral:rRNA from 1 species